rnacentral:lncRNA from 1 species
AGUUAUCGCUGAUAAUAUGGACAAAGAAGGAAAAACGGAAAAUGCGAAUACGAAAUGUUAUUUUCAAACGUUCUACUACCGAAAACCCUUUAAAGUCUAAUUGAGCUUCUACACCCUCGUGUAAUUGGUGUUGCGCUGUCGAUGUAUGUUAUCAUACUGGAGCUAAGGGAGAAACACUGUCAGUCAAACAGUACGCUAGGAGUUGCGAAGUAGCAUGACCGUAGUGGUGUUGUUUCUCCUUCGACUAGAGAAAUCAAGAGGAAACUUUCCUAGUUGGGUACGAAAAUCUUACUAAGUAAGAUUAUUAACUGAUCUAUUAAAAUCGUAUUAAAUGGCUGGAUUGUUAACUACGUACUUAAUCAAGGUUAGUGCCUGAUCGCUUUUGGGUUAACCCCAACUAAUACAAUUAUUAUAGAGAAAAGUAAUCAUUUUAUAGAAGAUAAAAUAAUCAUUUUAUAGAAGAAACAUCAGCUUUAGGAGGGUAUGUGUGA